GCCACAUUAUCUGAAGCUCCUCCCUGUGCCCCACCCCAGGUCAUAGCCUCAUACACCCUCAAUCUAUAUCACCAGACAUCUGUGUCAACUGCUGUCUACACUCUGCUGGCGUGGACAUCGGCUUCUACAGAGAACUGAUGCCAUGAUUGGAAGGAGGGUGGGCGCCUUGAUCCUGGUGCCAGCCUGCAGCCGGUGGUGUCCGUGUCCAGGAGAAAGCACAGCUUCAUCUAUGGCUGCCCCAAUCCACUUUUGGGUUCCAUGCAGAAAGCAGAGCUGGGUGUAUUGCUCCUUCCAGGCUGGUCCUGCUCUGUGCUGCUGAUGCUUGGAGGAGCCCUGUGCUUGUGGAAGACCCCAAAUGAGAAAGAAUUGCUCAGUCCUAGCAAGUGUCCUACCUUCCUCCACCCAGGAGGAGAGCAGAAGGUCCCUGGAUUGUUGCUGAGGACAUGCCUGCUGGUGGUGUGUCUGACGUCAUAGCGACUCUCAUUUCCGUUGCUGGUUCUCAGGACAGCUCACUAUGGACACUUUGAAAAUUCAUCCUCAGUCAUUUGAAUUCUGCAUCUGACAGCCAGAUCCCCUGUCUCUUUUGUGUCCCGUGUCCGGCAGACAAUAAGCCAUGGCUCGCCGGCAACUGGAAGUAGUCAGCAUAUCUCUGGUCAGGCUGAGCUGGCUGGUCACCAUUAUCUGCUGUGCCCUACCCUUCUGGCGUGGUACAAAAGUCUCCGAAGAGAUCAUAAUCUGGGAAGGGCUGUGGGACGUGUGUGAGGCUCAAGGGCUUGAGAUCCUACAGUGUGUGAAAUACUCACACACUACACUACCACGGGACAUACAGGUGUCUCGAGUUCUGGUGGUCACCUGCAUCAUCAUCACCUGGAUGGGUUUGCUGCUGGACAGGUACCGGGGAGACAGGACAUAUGUGCCGAAUCCGAGCACUCAAGAAAAGAUGACGGUGGCCACAAGUGUGUUGUUCCUGGGGCUGGGUGUGCUGCUGCUGGUGUCUGUGUACUGGGUAACACACAAUGUUAUCCACGGCAACUCUCUCUCUCUGUCACUCAUGGAAACCAGGAUGGGAGUCUCACUCUACCUGGGUUGGCUCAGCUCCCUGCUGCUUCUGCUGGGAGGGGCCCACCUGUGGUACAAGGCCCCAGCUAACAAUGUCUAGUCCAGUCCUCCAGAGGGCUCCACCAAUGACUUGCCCAGUUCUUCCCUGGGCUCCAGGGAUGGGCCCUCCUCAGAGAACAAUGCCUAAGGUGGGCCACUCUCUGCGUUUUGGAUUCAUCUGUAGUCCCCUCAGACCCAUCACCUGUGACUUAUUCUCAAGUUGUUUCUCUUUGACUGAAACGUCUUUGGCCCGAGGGAAAGAGAAACAGGAAGCUACAGGACUUGGGUGCCCUCCUCAGCCUCAGUGAAUUACUGCUGGGGACACACGGGGAGAGAAAACCCCUCCACGGACCUGGCUGCAAACAGGCUUUGCUGGAGACCUCCUGGGUGAGGUCCUCAUGACUCAGCACAAUGCUGUGGUGCACUUCCUGUGGAUGCAGCCACCUGAGUCACCCAUGAACCCGGGGCCCCAAUAAAGUCACUGGUCCCCUU